rnacentral:rRNA from 1 species
UACAGAGGUCUCAAGCGUUGUUCGGAUUCAUUGGGCGUAAAGGGUGCGUAGGCGGCGCGGUAAGUCGGGUGUGAAAUCUCGGGGCUUAACUCCGAAACUGCAUUCGAUACUGCCGUGCUUGAGGACUGGAGAGGAGACUGGAAUUUACGGUGUAGCGGUGAAAUGCGUAGAUAUCGUAAGGAAGACCAGUGGCGAAGGCGGGUCUCUGGACAGUUCCUGACGCUGAGGCACGAAAGCGUGGGAGCAAACAGG